GAUCAUGGCUCAGGAUGAACGCUAGCGACAGGCUUAACACAUGCAAGUCGAGGGGCAGCGGGGAGUGGCGACACUCUGCCGGCGACCGGCGCACGGGUGCGUAACACGUGUGCAACCUGCCCGUCACCGGGGGAUAACCCGUGGAAACGCGGACUAAAACCCCAUGAGACGAGAAUGGCGCAUGCCAUGAACGUUAAAACCGAGGUGGUGACGGAUGGGCACGCGGGACAUUAGGUAGUUGGCGGGGUAACGG
rnacentral:rRNA from 1 species